CAAAGGGUAAUGUUGAUUAUUUAUUUUGACUAAAUAAGAAAUUGGUUCGAUCUUCUUCAUUGAUCUGUGUUAUUUUUCAGGUCAAAAGGAUGUACUUGAAAAGUUGAUCACAAAAGCAACCAGUCUCAAUCAUAAAGAUCAAUCUGGACAGACACCUCUUCAUGCAGCUCUUAAGAAUGGUCACACGGGUACCGCUGAAAGGCUCAUCAGCACUAAAGCUGAUAUUGAUGCUGCAGAUCUGAAUAAUCAGACACCGCUUCACUAUGCUGCUUUUUAUGGACAAAAGAGUGUCAUUGACAAGUUGAUCUUGAAAAAAGCCAAAGUUAAUUCUGUGGACAACACAAAACAAACAGCUCUUCAUCUGGCUGCAGUG